rnacentral:rRNA from 1 species
AUGUAUACUUUAUUUUGGAACCGUCGUGGGCCCGGCGACCCUGCGAUGGUUCAUGAAUUGUGUAGCAUUGCGCAGGAAUGUGCACCCACGAUUCUUUGUGUGGUGGAGACACAAAUUGCAAAGAACUGUGUGGAAGGGUUUGGCUGCUACUCUGGAUACACUAGUGCUUUUGGUGUGGGAGGUAGUGGGAGAAGUGGUGCUUUGUAUCUAUUGGAAAAAUCGAGUCCAACUAGAGUUGAGGAAUUAUUCACGGUAGCACAUGGAUAUGAAGGUGAUGGAGAGCGGACACGAUCAUUGGAGAUUGACGUGUUGGUAUGGUGA